GUGGGACAGGGGAGAAAGCAUUUCUCAGGUUUGCCAUUUAUCUUCCUUUUGGAGAUGUGAGAGAGUACUGGAAGAGGAAAGGGAACAGCAGAAAGAGCCUGUCUGAGAAUGAAGUCAAAGCAAAAAGCUGCCAAAAAGUGGAGGAAAAAUGAUAGAGCUCAGAAAAACCCAGGGAAGGACUUGGAUUUAGCUGUGGCCAUUCCUUAAACAUCUCAGAACUUUCAGUAAUGAGAUCUGAAGUGGCAAUCGCUGAGAUCACAGAAAUUUAAAAUAUCAGAGGAUUAAAGAAAAAAGGAACAGGAAAAAAGCCAGAUGUCAAAGCAUAAUCAUUUUGUAGAAAUGGGAUCUAGCUGGGAUGUUCUCCAAGGAAAGGACAACACCUCCCUGGGAACAAGCAAAUUAAGAGUAAGAUGUUUGAAGAAAAAAAAAAAAAAAAGAAGUAAGACAUUUGCAAGGAAUCAUGGGCUUAGAGCAUAGAAAUCAAAUUGUCUAAAAGGAGAUUUCAUCCACCAAAGGACCAUUUCAUGUUGAUAAUAAUAGAAUGCCUAAGGGAACAUGAAAUUAAAGGAUUCAUGAGAAACAACAUAACAUCAGAUGCUGCUCUAGAUACUGGGGCUACAGAAGUGAACAAGAAGCCUGCCAUCAAGAAGUUCACAUAAUCUAGCAGGGGGACAAGACAUACACUCGCAAUUCACUGUGGGAAGUGCUCUGACAGAGGUGGCAACCAGAGCAAACUCCCUUAAGGCAAGAAGAGCGAGUGGUCAAGCUCAGGCAGCAGACUGCAUCUCCUCUGCUUCCUGUUACUUCCUUCGUGGUAGGGGUAUGAUGCUCAGCACUUGUCGACUACAGUAGAUUCGUCCACAUAGUUUUCCAGCUUGUCAUCCAUGAGGCUGACUGGGUAUGUUUCACAGCUCACAAUUACAGAUUUAAGGAGACUGGGCUGGGAAGACCCACCAGGAAGGCUGUCAGGCCUUGGUCCCAGGGACCAGCACCACCUACCAGAAAAAUCUUGCAUUUGCGGGUGCGGGGCACUUAGCCAGCGAUUAUACAGCUGGUACUUCGUCUCCUCAUUCUAUUCCUGUCCAUGUGUCUACACCUUUCUUAGAAGGGAACACCAGAAAAUAAAGGGCAAGUGGAAGGAUCGGGGUACCAAAACCCCACCAUAAAUUCUGACUGGGUUUCACUGUAUUUCUGUUUUAAGUCAUCUCUCAGAGCUGAAACUUCAUGCCUCUCAAAAUCAUCU